rnacentral:rRNA from 1 species
UACGUAGGGAGCGAGCGUUGUUCGGAUUUACUGGGCGUAAAGCGCGCGUAGGCGGCCUGAUAAGUCGGGUGUGAAAGCCCUCGGCUCAACCGAGGAUCCGCGCCCGAAACUGCCAGGCUUGAGUCUAGGAGAGGAGAGCGGAAUUCCCAGUGUAGCGGUGAAAUGCGUAGAUAUUGGGAGGAACACCAGUGGCGAAGGCGGCUCUCUGGACUAGUACUGACGCUGAGGCGCGAAAGCUAGGGGAGCGAACGGGAUUAGAAACCCUUGUAGU